ensembl:snRNA U6 U6 spliceosomal RNA
GUGCUCGCUUUGGCAGCACAUAUACUAAAAAUUGGAACGAUACAGAGAAGAUUAGCAUGGCCCCUGCUCAAGGAUGACACGCAAAUUCAUGAAGCGUGCCAUAUUUAA